GACGAACGCUGGCGGCGUGCUUAACACAUGCAAGUCGAACGGAAAGGCCCUGCUUUUGUGGGGUGCUCGAGUGGCGAACGGGUGAGUAACACGUGAGUAACCUGCCCUUGACUUUGGGAUAACUUCAGGAAACUGGGGCUAAUACCGGAUAGGAGCUCCUGCUGCAUGGUGGGGGUUGGAAAGUUUCGGCGGUUGGGGAUGGACUCGCGGCUUAUCAGCUUGUUGGUGGGGUAGUGGCUUACCAAGGCUUUGACGGGUAGCCGGCCUGGGAGGGUGACCGGCCACAUUGGGACUGAGGUACGGGCCAGACUCCUACGGGAAGCAGGAGUGGGGAAUAUUGCACAAUGGGCGGGAGCCUGAUGCAACAACGCCGCGUGCGGGAUGACGGCCUUCGGGUUGGAAACCGCUUUCGCCUGUGACGGAGCGUGAGUGACGGUAAUGGGUAAAGAAGCACCGGCUAACUACGUG
rnacentral:rRNA from 1 species